ACCCUUAGAACUUUAUGUCGCUGCUUGCUCCAUCUAACGUUAGUUAGAGAAACAUGUGAUUUACUCCGAUUAAAACGUGAUUUUUUUGUAACAUUUUAAAGAUUUUUUUCAGUAAAAAUUGUAAGAUACUUAUUGUCCAUGAAUUAAAAAAUAAGUACUUGUCCAUUAGCUCAAUGCAAUGAUGGAGUCAACUAAAACAGGGGAUUCUGACUCUGGACACAAUGGCGACUUGUAUAUCAGUCAGGCUGAGUCUGAAGUUGACCGGGAUUCACCCACCUUGGAAACAGUUUCAGGUUUUUCUACUAGCUCUUCACCCUUACCUCCAGAACCAUUUGAACCACGCUUCUGUGUCAAGUUUACAGGAGAGGCAACAAAAAUGGAGAUGUUGUAAAAUACACUAUUAAAACUUGGAGAAGAAAUGACGAAAAGACUGAAUUUGUCGUGGAACGCCAGUAUGAAGACAUUGAAUGGCUCGAGCAUUGUCUUAUUACUUCUAACCCAAUUCCUGGCUUAAUU